rnacentral:lncRNA from 1 species
UCACUUUUCUAAAACUUACCGAAUGAUCACAGACAAAUGUGGAGCAACACGAGGUAGAGUGGGAAAAGAAAAAUUAAGAAGAUGAAGGGUGAAAGAGAGUAGAAAUUUGGUAGCAAUGAAGAGAAAAAUGACAAGAGGGUGGAGGGAUUUUGGGGAAAGUAAAAAAAAACAAGAAAAAAAAGAAGAAAAAAGAUGAACAGAAUAUUUGAUAACCACCCCAAUCCCUUUUUUCUCUCCAUCAAACUCCCCACUAAAUCCGCUACUCAGAUUUUUAGUCCAUCUCAAACUCUCCUGGACAUACGAGCAAAAAUAAUACUACCAAGAUUCGAGCACAAAACCUCCAUCGCAC